UAGCCGUAAACGAUACUCGCUAGGUGUCGGCCACGGUGCGACCGUUGUCGGUGCCGUAGGGAAGCCGUGAAGCGAGCCACCUGGGAAGUACGGCCGCAAGGCUGAAACUUAAAGGAAUUGGCGGGAGAGCACAACAACGGGUGGAGCUUGCGGUUUAAUUGGAUUCAACGCCGGAAAUCUUACCGGGACCGACAGCAACAUGGAGGCCAAGCUGAAGACUUUGCCGGAUUAGCUGAGAGGUGGUGCAUGGCGUAGUCGUGU
rnacentral:rRNA from 1 species